rnacentral:rRNA from 1 species
GAAUCUUGCGCAAUGGGCGAAAGCCUGACGCAGCCAUGCCGCGUGAAUGAUGAAGGUCUUAGGAUUGUAAAAUUCUUUCAGUAGGGACGAUAAUGACGGUACCUACAGAAGAAGCCCCGGCUAACUUCGUGCCAGCAGCCGCGGUAAUACGAAGGGGGCUAGCGUUGCUCGGAAUUACUGGGCGUAAAGGGAGCGAAGGCGGGUUAUCAAGUUGGAGGUGAAAGCCCAGGGCUCAACCUUGGAAUUGCCUUCAAAACUGAUAACCUAGAGGAUAGAAGAGGUAAGUGGAACUCCGAGUGUAGAGGUGAAAUUCGUAGAUAUUCGGAAGAACACCAGUGGCGAAGGCGACUUACUGGUCUAUUACUGACGCUGAGGCUCGAAAGCGUGGGGAGCAAACAGG